GCCUCGCUCGGCCCCCCGACUCGCUUUCCGCCCUGUCGGUGCACCAGCGUCAGCAGCUUCGUUAGUCGCUGCAUAUAAAGAGGCAUUGCAAAAAAGGUUAUUGCACUGCUCUUGUAUGUUGGGUUCAGGGUUUUGCAUGUUUUUUGGGUUUUUUUCCCCCUGGAUUUCGUGUGCGAAUCAAGGAGGCUUUCGGGUUUCUGAAAACCAAAUGGUUUUCACUUGCUGAUCAAACCAUUUGGGUUUCCCGCGCCCCGGCUCCGUCCGUGCAUACAUACCAUAUGUAUCUCUUUUCGGAUUGGGAUUCUUGUAUGCUGUGGACUGUGGUACAUAUGGAGGGAGCUUCGGCCGCCCGCUGACUAUAGUGCUGCAAUUGGCUCCAUGGCAACCAAACUAAACACACGGUCGUACGGCGUGUUUAUAGCAAAUAAAAGUUGCCAGAUUUGUGCUAAAUCAGGCUUAAAAUUCAAACUGAACAGGGUGAAAUGCUGAUGCCAUUACCAAAUGUAAGUGGCAGCUUGGCAGGUGAUGAAUUAGCCACUUUUGCCAACAUAUAAGCUAGCUGUGAAUGUUCCAACAUGUAAACUACCUCUAGGAAGCAUCUCAACUAUUAUGUUUAGGCUUCAACCUUCAAUUUAGAUCUCCAAAAGCUUUCGUGAUUCCUACGGGAAUAAACUGCUUCAUGUGAAAUCAUUGUGAAACUCGUACAAAAUGCGAAAUAGGCCUUGCUUGGCCCUUGCCAAAUUAAUAAUCUUGUUAAGGGUACAGUCAAUAAAUAAAUGCAAGUCUUCGUGUCACAGAUA